rnacentral:rRNA from 1 species
UACGAGGGGGGCGAGCGUUGUUCGGAAUUAUUGGGCGUAAAGGGUGCGUAGGCGGUUUGGUAAGUCUUGUGUGAAAUCUUCGGGCUCAACUCGAAGUCUGCACGAGAAACUGCCGGGCUUGAGUAUGGGAGAGGUGAGUGGAAUUCCCGGUGUAGCGGUGAAAUGCGCAGAUAUCAGGAAGAACACCAAUGGCGAAGGCAGCUCUCUGGGACGGUACUGACGCUGAGACGCGAAAGCGUGGGGAGCAAACAGG